UAUGAUGAUCCUAGUGGAGCUAAAAGAGCAAAAUGUAACUACUGUCAAAAAACUUAUGCUGCUGCUACGAAAGAUUGGCUUAGAAGUGAACCUAUUCCUAUUAAAGUUGAGGAAGACUUGGAGUAUCUGGAACAACUAGAACUUGAUCUGGCUAAUAGUGCAAAAGAUUCAACUAUUAUUGACAUAUAGUUGCAACAUGUACCAUGUGUGGUUUGAUCAUGGCGCCUAAAUGGAAGUGAUGCUGCAGUAAAUAGACUUCACUUGUUUCAUGCUACUUAAUGUAAUUAUUUCUCUGGUUUUGAGACUUCAGCAGCAUGAAAACUUUCUAACUUUUAGAUUACUCUUUUGGUUAUGUAAUAUGCUUGUACUAAACAGUGGCAGCAAAGUAGCAUAGAUUCUAAGUUUUUUGUUCUCUCAUGGCUGUAAGCAGUGGCAGCAAAGCA